rnacentral:rRNA from 1 species
GACGAACGCUGGCGGCGUGCUUAACACAUGCAAGUCGAACGGAAAGGCCCUGCUUGCAGGGUACUCGAGUGGCGAACGGGUGAGUAACACGUGGGUGAUCUGCCCUGCACUUCGGGAUAAGCCUGGGAAACUGGGUCUAAUACCGGAUAGGAGCCAUUCUUAGUGUGAUGGUUGGAAAGUUUUUUCGGUGUAGGAUGAGCUCGCGGCCUAUCAGCUUGUUGGUGGGGUAAUGGCCUACCAAGGCGGCGACGGGUAGGCGGCCUGAGAGGGUGGACGGCCACAUUGGGACUGGGAUACGGCCCAGACGCCUACGGGGGGCAGCAGGGGGGGAUAUUGCACAAUGGGCGCAAGCCUGAUGCAGCGACGCCGCGUGGGGGAUGACGGCCUUCGGGUUGUAAACUCCUUUCGGUAGGGACGAAGCUGUUUGUGACGGUACCUAGAUAAGAAGCACCGGCUAACUACGUG